GUAGGUGGCAAGCGUUGUCCGGAAUUAUUGGGCGUAAAGCGCGCGCAGGCGGUUCUUUAAGUCUGAUGUGAAAGCCCACGGGCUCAACCGUGAGGGUCAUUGGAAACUGGAGAACUUGAGUACAGAAGAGGAAAGCGGAAUUCCACGUGUAGCGGUGAAAUGCGUAGAGAUGUGGAGGAACACCAGUGGCGAAGGCGGCUUUCUGGUCUGUAACUGACGCUGAGGCGCGAAAGCGUGGGGAGCAAACAGGAUUAGAUACCCUGGUAGUCCACGCCGUAAACGAUGAGUGCUAAGUGUUAGGGGGUUUCCGCCCCUUAGUGCUGCAGCUAACGCAUUAAGCACUCCGCCUGGGGAGUACGGCCGCAAGGCUG
rnacentral:rRNA from 1 species